CCCCCUCCCGGGGGUGAGCUCCGUGAGCAGCACAGGUGCCGGUGUAGACGGGAGGGCAGUCCCCUUCUGAGUGCGCCCAGACAUCUGGAAUAUUCUAAAAACAGAGGAGGACACGCACCCUGGUCCUGAGGGAGUGUGGGAGGGGGGCUGCUUCCUGCUGGCGGCCAGAGCCGAGGCCACUCCCUGUCACCCACGCUUGGGCGGUCAGCAGUCUCCGGGCCUUGGGACUCAGUGUCUUCCUGCUAAUUUAUGGGGCGACACGUUCCUCUAGGAAACGGGGCAGAGAGCCAGAGAUCCCCUCUUGUACUGUUCCUUCCCCUUCAAGGGGGAUGGAGCUUUCUCAGGAAGGAGUCAAAUGCCCGCUGCCCGUUUAUUCUGCAAGUGUCAGAUGCAGCGUGGGGACAACUGAGAGGUGAUGGGUCCCGGGAGACGUCCCCAAGGAUGAGGGGCGAAGCCGUGAGUGGGUGACUUUAAAGACUGUUUCAAAGUCAGGGGUGUGGGGACCCCGAAGACCACCGCCUGAGGUGCUGGCCCGGCCCAGGGCAAGCUGAGCAGCCCCCUGGUGUCUCGUGGUUGGUGAGAAAUGCAGAGACACCAAGUGGGGACCGGGAGGCUCCGUGGGCGUGGCCACCCCCAGGACCUGAGCCAAGAACCCCCACCAAGCCAGGGCUCUGCGUGCAUGUGGCCUGCUGCUUCCCGAAGAGCCGCAGGGUCGGUGCCACGGUGCCAGGUACAGAUGCAAAGACUGAGGCUCCUGCGCAGAUGCGGUCCCAGAAAGCCACAGCAUGGCCCCAGAGAGGGGCCACACUAGGCAUGUGCUCCCCUGCACCUCCAGGCGGCUCUGAGCCAACGGGCCACGGUGCUGGGGCCCAUUUUCAGGAAGGGCCAUUUUUGGGGUAUUAAAAACAGAGAUAUAGCCCCUAAAAAGGCUGCGUAAAGAAAAACACAGCAGGUGACCUUCCGGAAGCAUCCUGUGGACUCCACGGGACUCGGGCCAGGGAUCCAGCUGCUGUGGACAGCAGAUGGUGAUGACAGAGGACGGUGAGUCCAGCUCCUGCUUUCAAGCAGAAUCAGGGCCGGCUGGCGGGUUUCCAUUCACCAGUGUUUCCAUAAGAUGCGGGUCAGGUUCCCAGAGAUGCCCAACCCUGAUGCCAAAGAGAAUCGGAGAGAUCUACAAGGGGCUUAAAGAGGCAGCAGCACUGCUUUUCAGGUACAACUGGUUUGUUCCACACAGGGACAUUGAGACAGGUCCCUGGAGAAGGUGCGAGUGAAAAGGAGGUGGCAGGUGUAGGAGCUUCGUCCUUUGAGGAGGGUCCCUUGAGGGUUAGACGUUGUUCUGGACCCAGUUUUGAGAGAUGCUUAUACAUGCCUUCUUCCUCCAUGACUCCUGGUCAGUGUCCUUCCCUCUGCUGUGGUUUCGUUGAUGCUGGGCCGAAUCCCCAGGACAACGGCCACAUUGUCAGUCAAGUUGAGCUGGCUCUCCACUUGCAGCUAGGGGUCUCAGCUUGCCCAUUUUGAGGCUGGGUAACCUCCACUGGGUGUCUGAUCUGUAUUAGCAGUGCCCGUCUCCUUCCCAGCCCCUUCCCCGCCCCAGGACACUGCAAGGAAAACAGAGGGACGAUCCUGGCCCCGAGCCUAUAUGGGACUCCCAGAGCUGGGGGUGCGGGGGCUGGCGGGGUGGGUGCUGGUCAGCGGGAGAGCUGGGCUCCAGUGCUGUCAAGUCCACAUGUGUGUACUUCCUCAGCACUUUCAGGACCUGAGGGCUAAGUACAGCUCUCAGGGAUUUAGGAAUGAAGGGGAAACCAAAGGUGGGUAAGUUGCUGGGUGCCCAGAUGCAUCUUGUGGUUUCAGGUCAAGGCCACCUAAAACUCAUCUUCCAUAGAUCUCAGCACUGUCCUGCCUCUGCCAUACCACACACCCAACUGGAAGAUAUAUAGCUGUAUAUUUUAUUUUUUGGUUCAUUGAUUGGUUGAUUGGCAGAGGCAGGUUUAUUUGCUUGAGUGUCUUGGCAGCCCUAGCAACUGGUCGAAGCACCUCUGAGCUCUACUGCAGCUCUCCAUGUUGGCGACUGAUGGAGCCAUGGCCCAGGCCAGCUUCACAACUCCAGAUGGUCUGUGGGUCUCUGCUGGCCCCUCCCCAGCCUCCCUCAUCACACAGCACGUGGCCCCUGGACCAGCAGCAGCAGCAGCACCUAGGAGCCCGCUGGGCAUGCAGAAUCCUGGCCCACCCCAGGACUACUGAAUCAGCCCCUGCCCUUGUAACAUUCCCUAAGCUUGAGGGGACCCUGAAGCAUGAGUGGCACCUGCCUUGGAACAUGGCUGUCCUCCUGCAGGAGGCAGGGAUCCAAGGCCUAGAAGCCGGAGGCCCUUCACACCCCAGCCUCCACCCUUGUCCUUUCUUCUACCUUUCGUCCACCAAUGCCUCCCACCUAGUUUUGCAAGUAGAAAUGCUGAAGCCAGAGACGGCAGAGACCUGCCCUUUGCCCUCCACUGGCCGAGCUGGGUGACAGCUGCAUCCCUUGGGAGUUGCGCAGCUCUUGUCCAUGUCCCAGGAUGGCUCUGUCUUCUGAUCAAGCAAAAAUCUAAGCAGCCAUGACCCACUCAACCCACAGAUGCCGGGGGCUGAACCACAGAGAAGCAGCUUUUCUCCAUGAUCAAGUGUCCAUUUACUGACAAUUCUUCAGUGCUACAAAAUUUGAAGCAACCUUUGUAGGAUAUUUGGUGGCCAUGUUGCCGUCACAUGUUGGAUGGCAGGUGAUCGAAAUGCAGCUGCAGAUGGCAUGGGCCCUGGAAUCGAUUGUUCAAAUUAUGUCACUUUUUCAGAUAGGACUUUGAUUUAUAGCUGCAGAAACAAUUUUUUUUAAUGGAAUCACAGAACUACUGCAGGGUUCUUUUGCAGCAAGGAGAUCUGCUCUUCCCAGGCCCCUCACUGGGUCAUUGCUCCUCCAACUCCUGUGCUUCCACCCAAUGGCAUUGUGCCUGGUGACAGGGAUGGCAUGUUCCCAUUUGUUCCUAUCCCGGGUUCUGGCAUGCCAGGUGCUGGUAAAUGUUGGUUGAAUGAAUAAAUAUAAACGAGUCUGUGACUCGGUGGAACUUGCCUGGGUUUCUCUGAUCCUCACUGCAGGUUUGUCUACACAAAGUCUAUUUAUCCGCA